GUUGAUGUAGCUUAAAUUUUAUAAAGCAAGACACUGAAAAUGUCUAGAUGGACACUAUUGCCCCAUUAACA
rnacentral:tRNA from 1 species